rnacentral:lncRNA from 1 species
GGAUAACUUAGCCAACCCACUAAAUUUGAGUUUUUUUUCGGAUAAAUCGACAAGUAUUUCAUUACAUCUUGGAUGAAGCACACAUACAACGUACAUGUGGUAACUCGAGAGGUGUAGCCCAUAGAUGAAUUACAAAAGGAUUAUACCGAUCAAAGAUCAAUAUACCACGUCCAAAUUCCCCUCAAUACCAAAGCCAUCAAUAUCAAAAGUUUUAAAACUACCUCUACUGAUCAUCGCACUAACCACCGACUUGGCGAACCGCAACUCUAAAACGAAAGAAGAAAAUCAAAACAAGCAAACCAAAGGCUAAAUUGCCCAGAUCCGUACGAAAAGACAAGACAAAGAAAAGAAAGCAGUGGAGCUUGCUACACACCAGAUGAUAGAGAUGUUGCUGGAGUGAGAAGCUACUCCGCAACCGCCGAAUCGAGUUAUGUCGAUGGGCGGGUCCCAUUCAUGUGACAAGCCUGUAUCACCUGUGAGCUGCCGAGACCUUCCUCUUCGGUGAUUUGGAGAGGGAUAGUCCCUGGACUUGUACCGUAACCAGAUCCGGGUUUGCUUCCACGGUGGCCGUGUUUUCCGAUGCUAUGUGCGGCUCGUUCAGCUCCAUCACCACCGUUGCUGCUCCUGUGCGCGAUCCAGGAGUCCUAGGUGUCACCGGGCCGAUUUGGUUGCUGGGUUUGGGAGGCAUGAGGCAUCCAAUGGUCGAGGUGUGCGAUUUGCUUGGAGAGGUGGGUUGAUGGAUGUGUAUGGUGAGCGAGGUUUGAUAUGUAUGUGGGUGGGAGAGGUGAUGAGUAGCCGCUGCUCGAUAGGGACUUGCCAGAGCAAUUAGAAAUGUGAGGACAAAGAAGAAAGAAAAAAAAGAACGGCCGACUCGCGGCGAGGCCAAACCCAGAGCUGGGGAGGACAAACCCUAGCGCCAGGGGAAAUCAUCCACUGAAUUUGAGUUGAUGAUAUGCUUGUUCUCGAGAUGAUUCCCUCUGCUCAACGCUUCAAAAUUAUAAAUUAUAAAUUAUAAAAUUAGUUACCACCACAAUUACAAUUCAACCGUGAAUUGCAAUUCAACCCACCAUCAAAAAGUGAAUCUCUCUCCUUCCAGUAGGCACAUGGGUCCCAUUGUACAUAUAGAUUUUCAUCCAUGGCCCCAGUUUUACCAAUCCAAACUCGUUGGAUGGUUUAGUAACAGUAAUUCCUUCACCACAUAACUAGCAUUGAAAUCAGUCACUAUGAUUGGAGAGUUUACAAGGAGCUGGAGUGAAAGAAAUGCAUAUAUAUGAAAACAAAAUAGAGUGAGAGAGAGAGAGAGAGAGCUUACUAGCUAGUUCCUUUGCUUAGUGCGUCACCACCAAAGCCACAAAGAGGAAAAGGAACAAAUAGAUGGCAGCAGAGCUUUGCUCAACUUAGCUUAGCUUUGCUUUCUGGAGAGAGAGAGAUAAGAGAGAAAUAUGGGGAGAGGUAGAGUGGAACUGAAGAGGAUUGAAAACAAGAUCAACAGACAAGUAACGUUUGCAAAGAGAAGGAAUGGGCUGCUGAAGAAAGCUUAUGAGC